rnacentral:rRNA from 1 species
UGGGGAAUAUUGCACAAUGGGGGAAACCCUGAUGCAGCGACGCCGCGUGAGCGAAGAAGUAUUUCGGUAUGUAAAGCUCUAUCAGCAGGGAAGAAAAUGACGGUACCUGACUAAGAAGCCCCGGCUAAAUACGUGCCAGCAGCCGCGGUAAUACGUAUGGGGCAAGCGUUAUCCGGAUUUACUGGGUGUAAAGGGAGCGCAGGCGGCUUGGCAAGUCUGAUGUGAAAGGCUGGGGCUCAACCCCAGGACUGCAUUGGAAACUGUUAGGCUGGAGUGUCGGAGAGGUAAGCGGAAUUCCUAGUG